rnacentral:rRNA from 1 species
AAAGUGGAGCAAUCCAUGAGUAAAGUGGCGUACGGGUGAGUAACACGUGGAUCAUCUACCUUCUAGUGGGGAAUACCCCUGGGAAACUGGGGACAAUACCGCAUAAGCUCGUAAGAGGAAAGCAGCAAUGCGCUGGAAGAGGAGUCCGCGGCUGAUUAGCUAGUUGGCGGGGUAAUGGCCCACCAAGGCGAAGAUCGGUAGCCGGCCUGAGAGGGCACACGGCCACACUGGCACUGAAACACGGGCCAGACUCCUACGGGAGGCAGCAGUGGGGAAUCUUGCACAAUGGAGGAAACUCUGAUGCAGCGACGCCGCGUGAGCGAUGAAGCCCUUCGGGGUGUAAAGCUCUUUCGACGGGAACGAUAAUGACGGUACCCGAAGAAGAAGCUGCGGCUAACUACGUGCCAGCAGCCGCGGUAAUACGUAGGCAGCAAGCGUUGUUCGGAAUUACUGGGCGUAAAGAGUGUGUAGGCGGUGUUCUAAGUUUGUCGUGAAAUCUCCCGGCUUAACUGGGAGGGUGCGGCGAAAACUGGAAUGCUAGAGGAUGGGAGAGGUAAGCGGAAUUCCUGGUGUAGCGGUGAAAUGCGUAGAUAUCAGGAGGAACACCUGUGGUGUAGACAGCUUACUGGACCAUUUCUGACGCUGAGACACGAAAGCGUGGGUAGCAAACAGGAUUAGAUACCCUGGUAGUCCACGCCCUAAACGAUGCAUACUUGGUGUGAGCGAUUCAUUUCGUUCGUGCCGGAGCUAACGCGUUAAGUAUGCCGCCUGGGGAGUACGGUCGCAAGGCUGAAACUC